CACUAGGUAGCGCUCAAAAAGAAUAAACUUUCCGCCUGGACAAUCCGCUUAUUUACCUCACCACCUGCUUACUUUAAGAAUAAUUACUUCGACACAUACGGUCAGCCACCAUAUUGGAAGACACGGCUCUUUUUUUUCUAUAAAAAUAGCUUAUGAGAUGCACUGAACUCUUGUGCUAUUCUGAUAAGAACACGUUUUUACCUGAAAUCAGCGUUUUUCUCACUGAAAGGAUGACGACAUGAUACUGCUAGCACGAAAAUGGGUCAGACUGUAUACAAAUGUGCAAAGUGGAAUGUUCACCUGUGCCUCAACAAAAACUACAACUGCUUUUGUGAAUUCCACAAGUGAUGUGAAGAAACAUGGUUACUCUCCUCACUGAAAGUCCAGUCACACCAAGUGGGCAAGUGCAUCUUAGAUGAACUGGAAAGUGUGAAUGGCCUGAAGCUGCGACAGUGACUGUAGAUGAGUGUCUGCCAGUGCUCGCCCUCAGACAAAUUGCUGGCCUGACCCUGUUCAACUCCAAAAUGUUGUAUCAUGAGUGCUUUUUUUUUACAAAGGAGGAGAGAAUUCUCUGUCUAAGAUGCAAAUAGAAUGACACCUAAUAUGUAAUUAUUUUUCCCGAUAUGUGGAGAAUUUAGCCAACUUCAAAAAGAGGCCAGAAGAUUUCUUCGAGCAGUUUAUCGCCACUCCCAAUUUGUUUACUGUCAAACGAAACAUAAAACAAAGAGAAUUGUGUUAGGUAUAUUUAACCAAAUAACAUGAAUUUGCUUUACGUAAGUCAGCUAUCUUAUUAUUAACGGAUAGGCGGGCUAAGGAAACUAACAUUGACAUUGCAGUACUUCUUGAAGAACUUAUACUGUAUUUCAACAUAAAUGGAAACAAUCCAUACAGACAGAGCAUAUAAUAACAAAACAUUUACCCUUGUGAAAAACAAACAAUAUGGUAGCUUUGUUCUUCGGUGUUUUAUUAUCAAAUCUGUGUUGUAUGUUGGGACACGUUAAACUCACGACACCGCUUUGUCACUGGUUAAACCACAUCACAUGGUUUCGGGACAACAUUUUGUCAACCGGCGUAUCCAAUUCUGGCAUUUCCUUCAGUUUGUCAGUACUGUAGAGCAAGGGUGUCCAAACUUUUCCUUCGAGGGCCGCAUCCCCCCCACC